GAAAACUUUAGGGGGACUACUAAUCCCCAGGUCCUAAUUAAUUUUAGGAGUUUUUG
rnacentral:tRNA from 1 species